UUACACAUUACAAGUAAUUGGAUGACUUUAAUCUUCAAUCGCUCCCGCUCAUGAAAAUCUUCAGUUAUCCAAACUCCUUGUUCUCUGUAAUACUUGAUUGCUUCACAAUAUUGUAUUUUGCCUUGUUCCAAGAUCCUCUUUUCUCUUGUUGAAACUCUCCUAAUAUAGUGAAAAUCCCUUGGCAAAAGGUGGAAAUCUCCAAA
rnacentral:lncRNA from 1 species